AACGUUGUGAGCUACAAUCCGACCAUCCUCCGCCUCUGGGGUGGAUAUGUGAACACCGUCGUCAUCCUCGACAUGCGUACUGUUGGAUGGCGACGGUGUUCACAUGUCCACCCCAGAGGCGGAGAGUGGUCGGAUUGUAGCUCACAACGU
rnacentral:pre_miRNA from 1 species